rnacentral:rRNA from 1 species
GGGUUGUGAGGUUAAGCGACUAAGCGUACACGGUGGAUGCCCUGGCAGUCAGAGGCGAUGAAGGACGUGCUAAUCUGCGAUAAGCGUCGGUAAGGUGAUAUGAACCGUUAUAACCGGCGAUUUCCGAAUGGGGAAACCCAGUGUGUUUCGACACACUAUCAUUAACUGAAUCCAUAGGUUAAUGAGGCGAACCGGGGGAACUGAAACAUCUAAGUACCCCGAGGAAAAGAAAUCAACCGAGAUUCCCCCAGUAGCGGCGAGCGAACGGGGAGCAGCCCAGAGCCUGAAUCAGUGUGUGUGUUAGUGGAAGCGUCUGGAAAGGCGCGCGAUACAGGGUGACAGCCCCGUACACAAAAAUGCACAUAUUGUGAGCUCGAUGAGUAGGGCGGGACACGUGGUAUCCUGUCUGAAUAUGGGGGGACCAUCCUCCAAGGCUAAAUACUCCUGACUGACCGAUAGUGAACCAGUACCGUGAGGGAAAGGCGAAAAGAACCCCGGCGAGGGGAGUGAAAAAGAACCUGAAACCGUGUACGUACAAGCAGUGGGAGCACGCUUCGGCGUGUGACUGCGUACCUUUUGUAUAAUGGGUCAGCGACUUAUAUUCUGUAGCAAGGUUAACCGAAUAGGGGAGCCGAAGGGAAACCGAGUCUUAACUGGGCGUUAAGUUGCAGGGUAUAGACCCGAAACCCGGUGAUCUAGCCAUGGGCAGGUUGAAGGUUGGGUAACACUAACUGGAGGACCGAACCGACUAAUGUUGAAAAAUUAGCGGAUGACUUGUGGCUGGGGGUGAAAGGCCAAUCAAACCGGGAGAUAGCUGGUUCUCCCCGAAAGCUAUUUAGGUAGCGCCUCGUGAAUUCAUCUCCGGGGGUAGAGCACUGUUUCGGCAAGGGGGUCAUCCCGACUUACCAACCCGAUGCAAACUGCGAAUACCGGAGAAUGUUAUCACGGGAGACACACGGCGGGUGCUAACGUCCGUCGUGAAGAGGGAAACAACCCAGACCGCCAGCUAAGGUCCCAAAGUCAUGGUUAAGUGGGAAACGAUGUGGGAAGGCCCAGACAGCCAGGAUGUUGGCUUAGAAGCAGCCAUCAUUUAAAGAAAGCGUAAUAGCUCACUGGUCGAGUCGGCCUGCGCGGAAGAUGUAACGGGGCUAAACCAUGCACCGAAGCUGCGGCAGCGACGCUGAUGCGUUGUUGGGUAGGGGAGCGUUCUGUAAGCCUGCGAAGGUGUGCUGUGAGGCAUGCUGGAGGUAUCAGAAGUGCGAAUGCUGACAUAAGUAACGAUAAAGCGGGUGAAAAGCCCGCUCGCCGGAAGACCAAGGGUUCCUGUCCAACGUUAAUCGGGGCAGGGUGAGUCGACCCCUAAGGCGAGGCCGAAAGGCGUAGUCGAUGGGAAACAGGUUAAUAUUCCUGUACUUGGUGUUACUGCGAAGGGGGGACGGAGAAGGCUAUGUUGGCCGGGCGACGGUUGUCCCGGUUUAAGCGUGUAGGCUGGUUUUCCAGGCAAAUCCGGAAAAUCAAGGCUGAGGCGUGAUGACGAGGCACUACGGUGCUGAAGCAACAAAUGCCCUGCUUCCAGGAAAAGCCUCUAAGCAUCAGGUAACAUCAAAUCGUACCCCAAACCGACACAGGUGGUCAGGUAGAGAAUACCAAGGCGCUUGAGAGAACUCGGGUGAAGGAACUAGGCAAAAUGGUGCCGUAACUUCGGGAGAAGGCACGCUGAUAUGUAGGUGAAGUCCCU